rnacentral:rRNA from 1 species
GAUGAACGCUAGCGGCAGGCCUAAUACAUGCAAGUCGGACGGGAUUCAGGAGCUUGCUUCUGAUGAGAGUGGCGCACGGGUGCGUAACACGUAUGUAACCUACCUUUAUCAGGGGGAUAGCCUCUCGAAAAAGAGAUUAAGCCCGCAUAAAAUCACAGCACAGCAUUGUGUAAUGAUCAAAUAUUUAUAGGAUAAAGAUGGGCAUGCGGAACAUUAGCUAGAUGGCGGGGUAACGGCCCACCAUGGCGACGAUGUUUAGGGGAUCUGAGAGGAUGGCCCCCCACACUGGUACUGAGACACGGACCAGACUCCUACGGGAGGCAGCAGUAAGGAAUAUUGGUCAAUGGGCGGAAGCCUGAACCAGCCAUGCCGCGUGCAGGAAGACGGCCCUACGGGUUGUAAACUGCUUUUAUACGGGAAUAAACCCAGAUACGUGUAUCUGGCUGAAUGUACUGUAAGAAUAAGGAUCGGCUAACUCCGUG